rnacentral:tRNA from 1 species
AUUUAUAUAAUAUACAAAUAGUAUGUUUGACUUCCAAUCAAAAAGUCUAAAAUUUUUAGUAUAAAUA